rnacentral:tRNA from 8 species
GGGAGUAGCUCAGUUGGCUAGAGCAUCAGCCUUCCAAGCUGAGGGUCGCGGGUUCGAGUCCCGUUUCCC